ACCGGCGCACGGGUGCGUAACGCGUAUGCAACCUACCUUUUACAGGGGGAUAGCCCGGAGAAAUCCGGAUUAAUACCCCAUAGUAUUGUUGAAUGGCAUCAUUUGACAAUUAAAACUACGGUGGUAAAAGAUGGGCAUGCGUCCUAUUAGCUAGAUGGAGUGGUAACGGCACCCCAUGGCAACGAUAGGUAGGGGUCCUGAGAGGGAGAUCCCCCACACUGGUACUGAGACACGGACCAGACUCCUACGGGAGGCAGCAGUGAGGAAUAUUGGACAAUGGUCGGAAGACUGAUCCAGCCAUGCCGCGUGCAGGAAGACGGCCCUAUGGGUUGUAAACUGCUUUUGUACAAGAAGAAUAAGCUCCUCGUGAGGAGCGAUGACGGUAUUGUACGAAUAAGCACCGGCUAACUCCGUGCCAGCAGCCGCGGUAAUACGGAGGGUGCAAGCGUUAUCCGGAAUCAUUGGGUUUAAAGGGUCCGUAGGCGGAUGUAUAAGUCAGGGGUGAAAGUUUGCCGCUUAACGGUAAAAUUGCCUUUGAUACUGUAUGUCUUGAAUGCGUAUGAAGUGGUUAGAAUGUGUAGUGUAGCGGUGAAAUGCAUAGAUAUUACACAGAAUACCGAUUGCGAAGGCAGAUCACUAAUACGUCAUUGACGCUGAUGGACGAAAGCGUGGGGAGCGAACAGGAUUAGAUACCCUGGUAGUCCACGCCGUAAACGAUGGAUACUAGCUGUUCGGAUUUCGGUCUGAGUGGCUAAGCGAAAGUGAUAA
rnacentral:rRNA from 1 species